AACGAACGCUGGCGGCAUGCCUAACACAUGCAAGUCGAACGAGGCCUUCGGGUCUAGUGGCGCACGGGUGCGUAACGCGUGGGAAUCUGCCCUUGGGUUCGGAAUAACAGUUGGAAACGACUGCUAAUACCGGAUGAUGACGUAAGUCCAAAGAUUUAUCGCCCAAGGAUGAGCCCGCGUAGGAUUAGCUAGUUGGUGAGGUAAAGGCUCACCAAGGCGACGAUCCUUAGCUGGUCUGAGAGGAUGAUCAGCCACACUGGGACUGAGACACGGCCCAGACUCCUACGGGAGGCAGCAGUGGGGAAUAUUGGACAAUGGGCGAAAGCCUGAUCCAGCAAUGCCGCGUGAGUGAUGAAGGCCUUAGGGUUGUAAAGCUCUUUUACCCGGGAUGAUAAUGACAGUACCGGGAGAAUAAGCUCCGGCUAACUCCGUG
rnacentral:rRNA from 1 species